rnacentral:rRNA from 1 species
GCUCAGGAUGAACGCUGGCGGCGUGCUUAACACAUGCAAGUCGAACGAAGCACUUUUACAGAUUUCUUCGGAAUGAAGUUUUAGUGACUGAGUGGCGGACGGGUGAGUAACGCGUGGGUAACCUGCCUCACACAGGGGGAUAACAGUUGGAAACGGCUGCUAAUACCGCAUAAGCGCACAGUACCGCAUGGUACAGUGUGAAAAACUCCGGUGGUGUGAGAUGGACCCGCGUCUGAUUAGCUAGUUGGCAGGGCAACGGCCUACCAAGGCGACGAUCAGUAGCCGACCUGAGAGGGUGACCGGCCACAUUGGGACUGAGACACGGCCCAAACUCCUACGGGAGGCAGCAGUA